rnacentral:rRNA from 1 species
GACGGAGGUGGCAAGCGUUGCUCGGAUUUACUGGGUGUAAAGGGCACGCAGGCGGUUCUAUAAGCCUUGCCUGAAAUGCCUUGGCUCAACCAAGGCACUGGGUAGGGGACUGCAGAACUUGAGGGUGGAAGAGGCGAACGGAAUUCCCGGUGUAAGGGUGAAAUCUGUAGAGAUCGGGAGGAACACCAGUGGCGAAGGCGGUUCGCUGGUCCACUUCUGACGCUCAUGUGCGAAAGCUAGGGGAGCAAACAGG